rnacentral:rRNA from 1 species
GGGGAAUUUUGGACAAUGGGCGCAAGCCUGAUCCAGCCAUGCCGCGUGAGUGAAGAAGGCCUUCGGGUUGUAAAGCUCUUUCGGUGGGGAAGAAAUUGCUUCGGCUAAUACCUGGAGUAGAUGACGGUACCCGCAUAAGAAGCACCGGCUAACUACGUGCCAGCAGCCGCGGUAAUACGUAGGGUGCGAGCGUUAAUCGGAAUUACUGGGCGUAAAGCGUGCGCAGGCGGUUGUAUAAGUCAGAUGUGAAAUCCCCGGGCUCAACCUGGGAACUGCAUUUGAGACUGUACGGCUAGAGUUUGGCAGAGGGGGGUGGAAUUCCACGUGUAGCAGUGAAAUGCGUAGAGAUGUGGAGGAACACCGAUGGCGAAGGCAGCCCCCUGGGCCAAUACUGACGCUCAUGCACGAAAGCGUGGGGAGCAAAC